rnacentral:rRNA from 1 species
AUGAUACUCCUACCCGGCCCGCUCGUGCGGCAAUGCCUCGUCCUCCUCCACUCCAAGAACGCGAUCCCCCUCGCUCCCAACACCACCGCCCAGCUCCACGCUCUCCUCCUAACGUCCGGCCACCUCCACUACAGCAGCAUCCAUCCCCUCUUCAUGCUGCACUGCGCUAGCGGCCGCCCCUCCGACGCCCACAACCUGCUCGCGCAAAUGCCCCACCCACCUCCGGUCUCCUUAACGAACUCGCUCCUCCGCUCCUAUACCGGCCUUGGCCACCACAGGGAGGCCGUCGCUCUUUACUCGCGGAUGCGCGGCUUCGACCACCUCACCUUCCCCUUGGCCGCCAAGGCCUGCGCCGGCCUCCGCCUCGGCCGCCACGGGCGUGCUGUGCACUGUCGCUCGCUCACCGCCGGCUUUGGCGGAGACGCGUACGUGCAGAAUGCGUUGAUAUCCAUGUACAUGAGCUGCGGCGAUGUUGCCGAGGCGGAGGUGGUGUUUGGUGCGAUGCAGAACCGUUCGGUCGUGUCCUGGAAUGCGGUGAUUGCUGGGUGCGUCAAGAACGGCUGUGCAGAAAGGGCGUUGGAGGUGUUUGGCGAGAUGGUUGGUGAUGGUGCCGGGAUUGACCGUGCCACAAUUGUGUCUGUACUGCCAGCUUGUGCGCGAGCCAAGAAUUUGAGCAUUGGAAGAGCUGUGCACCGAUUGGUUGAGGAAAGAGGCUUGGCGGACUAUGCAGCGGUGAAGAACGCGCUGAUUGAUAUGUAUGGGAAGUGUGGGAGAUUGGAGGAUGCACGCAGGGUCUUCGAUGGACAUAAAUAUGACAAGAAUGUUGUUUCUUGGACAGUGAUGAUUGGUGCGUACGUGCUGAAUGACCGUGUGGACGAGGCCUUUAAUCUUGGUUUUGAUAUGCUCAUGACUGAUGGUGCACCAUGGCCGAAUGGAGUGACCAUGGCGUAUCUACUCUCAGCUUGUUCCAGCUUGCCAUCAUGGAGGCGUGCCAAGUGCAUACACGCAAUGUGCAUUAGACUUGGGCUUGAAUCAGACAUCGUUGUUGAGACUGCACUUAUUGACACUUACGCUAAGUGCCAUAAGGUGAAGAUGAUGGAGUUGACACUUAAAAAUGGCUCAUGGCGGACAGAAACAUGGAAUGCAGCUAUCUCUGGUUAUAGUCGCAGUGAACGGGAGAAGAAAGCUGUAGAAUUAUUUAAGCGGAUGAUUGGAGAAUCGGUGCGCCCAGACUCUGCAACACUUGCAAGCAUCCUCCCGGCGUAUGCAGAAUCUGCGGACCUGAGACAAGCAAAGAACAUCCACUGUUACUUGCUAACUCUUGGGUUUCUUCGGAGCACAGCGAUCAGAACUGGUUUAGUCGAUGUGUAUGCCAAGGCAGGUGACCUGGACAUGGCAUGGACACUCUUCGACGGGCUACCUGAAAAGGAUGUUGUUGCCUGGACCACCAUCCUUUCUGGGUACGGUAUGCACGGGCAUGCCCGAACUGCCAUCCUGCUAUAUGACCGGAUGGUGGAGUUGGGGGUGAAGCCGAACACCGUGACCUUCGCCUCCCUGCUGUACGCUUGCAGCCAUGCAGGCUGGAUAGACAAAGGCCUUCAGCUAUUUGAGGACAUGCGUGGCAUUCAUGGCGUGGUGCCAAAUAUCGAGCACUACCUGUCCCUGGUCGACAUGGUUGGGCGUGCUGGGAGGAUCAAGGAGGCCUACUGUCUCAUCAAAGAUAUGCCAUUCGAGCCGAGUACAUCGGUGUGGGGUGUUCUGCUGGGUGCUUGUGUUCUACACAAAAAUGUUGAGUUUGGGGAGAUUGCGGCGAAGCAUUUAUUUGAGCUUGAGCCGGACAACACCGGGAAUCAUGUGCUCCUUGGGAACAUAUAUGCUGCAGCUGACAGAUGGAACGAUGUUCAGGAUGUCUGGAAAAUGAUGGGAAGAAAGGGCCUCAUCAAAGAACCGGGAUCUAGUUUGGUCGAGGCAUGGUCUGAACAAUGCCGAACAGCGAUGUUAUAG